rnacentral:rRNA from 1 species
CAAGUAGCGGAGCAUGUGGUUUAAUUCGAAGCAACGCGAAGAACCUUACCUAAGCUUGACAUCCUUUUGACCUCUCCCUAAUCGGAGAUUUCCCUUAGGGGACAGAAGUGACAGGUGGUGCAUGGUUGUCGUCAGCUCGUGUCGUGAGGUGUUGGGUUAAGUCCCGCAACGAGCGCAACCCUUGCCUUUAGUUGCCAGCAUUAAGUUGGGCACUCUAGAGGGACUGCCAGGGAUAACCUGGAGGAAGGUGGGGAUGACGUCAAAUCAUCAUGCCCCUUAUGCUUAGGGCUAUACACGUGCUACAAUGGGUGGUACAGAGGGCAGCCAAGUCGUGAGGCGGAGCUAAUCCCUUAAAGCCAUUCUCAGUUCGGAUUGUAGGCUGAAACUCGCCUACAUGAAGCUGGAGUUACUAGUAAUCGCAGAUCAGAAUGCUGCGGUGAAUGCGUUUCCGGGUCUUGUACACACC